AGUGUGCAAUGAAAGGGUAUAUAAAGAGGCAGUGCCAGUGUCUGAAUGUGUUAUUAUUUGUAAGCGGCCAAGAAUAUAUUUGCUCUUCAACACUAUGGGCGUCCGUCGACUGUCGUUUUUAAGUGUAGUUCUAGCCACAUUCUGCACUGUUAGUUCAAUCACAUGGGUACCCGUACCACUCAUAAACGGUACACAGUGCCUUUAUUUUGAUACGGAAAUGAACGAUAAUGAGACACGUGUGAGUGAAUGGCCAUGCGAAAAGUUAUUUUGCACAACGUUUCAGCGGCUCAAGUGGAAGUGACGGGGUGCCCUGACCCAAACACCGUUUCGCUAUACACGGCUCAGAAAUACUGGCCCCAAUGUUGCAAAAGACCUGUGCCUUACCCGUUUUAAGAAUUUCCAUGAUGUCUCCUCUGUCACUCAAAAAAUAUACAGGAAGAUAACUUUCCUACUUUGACAGAAAUAUAGGCUGUUGAUAA